UUCUCGAUGCAUCGAUUACAAACCCUGUCGAUUCAUAUGCAUCGAUCUUGAAACAUGAUUUUUGAAUCGUGAAGCGCCCGAUCUUGAACAGCAAUCGAUUCAAAAUGCUAAGAAUCGAAUGAAUCGCGAUUUCUAUAGCGAUUCAAUGCUUUCAAAAUGUAUACACAUUAAAUUACUACACGCACGAAUUAAUGGAUACCUUGAAGAGAGUUCGUGAAUCGUGCCUCUUAUCUGUCCUUCAUGCGCUGAUUGCGCUCCACUGUUUACCGCCUGAUGAUGAGACUGUCACAGGAUUGCGCUCGCGCUCCGUUCGUCCCUGACGCAGCUGACGUGUGAUCUAUAAGACUCGUGGCCAGUGCCGGAGCCGUCGACAGCUGUACGAUUUAUUGCAUGGACAGAGCAGAAAUGAAAAUGAGCUGUUGCUCCCACAUCCCUUUUCUGAUGAGUGCUGAAUUCACUGUUGCCAAGUCCAUGGUUUUCCCACAGGCCUAUAUUUGUUCUGUACUUUUUGCACCUGUGUCACCUGCCCCAGAGACAAGGGCACAAGGAGAGAGUGGACCUACUCUGGUUGCAACAUGGUAACUAGGUGACAGAUGGACCCAGGUGACCUUGCCAGGCUGGGUUCCGGUUCAGGACGGCACAUAUCCAUUUUGAACACAUGCACCGGCAGGUAUGUACUGGAAUUCUAUGAUAGUUUUGUUAUGAGUUCAGGUUCAGUUCCCUUUAUUGAAUGUCGAUGGAAAAUAAAGCCCCCCAGAAAGUACAAUAAUAAAUUAUAUAUAAUAUUGAAUCUCUCUGCAUGAGCAUGUGUGACGACCAACAAGUUACAGCAGACAGCAGAAUCCUUAUUGAUCUGGUCUGUGGCAGCGAAAUAGCCCCUGUCAGCACUAAAUCCCUCUCCCUGUCACUCUUACCUUGGACAAGCAGUCCCUCCAGUUACUCCCUCAGGAAUAUUCAUGAGUGUGCGAGAGACUACCUGAAUGCCAACACGUUUGACAUCAGCUUUUAUCAUCGGGUAGAACCAAACUUUCACUUGGAGACAAAGGAAACCGAUGGGUUUUAGUGGCUCCUUAAACAUAUUUAGACAUAGGCCACAAUUAAUACUGUAAACUUAAUUGCAUUUAGACAUUAAAUGCAAAUGAAUAAACAACAAUUACAUGCUUUGCUUGAAAAUCAGUUUGUGCCAUCUUUAUUUUAAAACAAAUAGCAUUUGGUUUGAUAUUUGUUUGUCUAGCGUAAUGACAUUCAUGUGGCUUAAGUGUCCAAAUACAUUUAGCUUCUACUGUACAUUUUAAGCUCAUUAGCGACUGUGGAAUUUAUGCCCAUGGCAAGUCUAAAAUUAUUUUCAGUAGAAAUAAUCCUACUCAUCUCUUGGUGGACUGAGAAUAACCGCCAUCAUCUAAAUAUUACAUUCAUGUAAAAUACUUUAUCUCCUGCCUUUCAGUGCUCAUCAUAGUUCCAAAUGUAAAACAAGGCAUUGAUGAAAGUCGAAGUCUCCAGGCGCUCUCUUUCCCUCUCAAACCCUUUCCAUCUCAUUAAGUGGUGUAAAAGCUUAAGCAGCGGUAGAAGUACAGACUUGCAGAUCUCAGGGGAUGAGUGCAUGGGGCGUGAGUCUCUUCUGUUGGGUACGAACAAUCAUGCAGGAAGUAAAAGCAGCAAAGGAUAUAGGGAGCAGAUGUUCAUUGUAUACAGAAUUAUGUGAUUUCAUUACAAUUAAUUAAUAUGAAAUAUGAUCAAAUGAAACUUUUUACUUUUUAAUAGUUCAUGUACAAAUACGCCAGUGAUAUAUUCCAGAUCACUGUCCCUCAGCAGUGUACUGUACAUUUUUCAUGACUUAACUAACAAUAAAUGAGAUCCUGUAAAGUAGCUUUUUUUCCUUUGAAAACAUCAUAAUGUUGUCCAAAAUAUUCAAAUAGCAAAUGCUGAUAUUAAACUGAAUGACCCAUUCAGGAUGUUAUGCAAAAUCCAAUACACCGUGGUUGAUUAUCUUUGG